GAAAGCUAAGACUUACUCAAUGAUGUAAGUGGUGGUGCAUGGCCGUUCGUAGUUCGUGGAUUGAUUUGUCUGGUCUAUUCCGAUAACGAGCGAGACCCUGACGUUCCUAAUAGGGGCAGCAGCCCGGCUGGCCGCAAGGCCGGUUAGCUGCUGCCUUAGUUAGCUUCUUAGACGUAUCAGAGCCGAUAAGGUUCUUGAAAUGGGUUAAUAACAGGUCGACUGGCCUGUAAAAGUCAGCCCGUACGCUUCGGUGUGUGGGCUGGCUAGUGGGGCUUGCUGCGUUGGCUUUGGGGAGAGCCAGCGGGGCAUGCUCUGCAACACCUUCAAAUCGCGGGGACACCCUAAUGCUAGUGCUACCAACCACUGGUCGAAAGACGUCAAAAUGCAAGGCUCUCCCUUCUGGCCAAGGGGAGCUGCGCAUGUGGGGCCGGGCUAAUCACCUGGGGACGGUAAUAACGCACUUAGAUGACCGCCGACUUGGGCCCUGAUGCUCCCCCCCCUUCCUUGGCCA
rnacentral:rRNA from 1 species